UACGUAGGGUGCGAGCGUUAAUCGGAAUUACUGGGCGUAAAGCGUGCGCAGGCGGUUCGCCGCGUCCGAUGUGAAAGCCCCGGGCUUAACCUGGGAAUGGCAUUGGAAACUGGCGGGCUGGAGUAUGGCAGAGGGGGGUGGAAUUCCACGUGUAGCAGUGAAAUGCGUAGAGAUGUGGAGGAACACCGAUGGCGAAGGCAGCCCCCUGGGUUAACACUGACGCUCAUGCACGAAAGCGUGGGGAGCAAACAGG
rnacentral:rRNA from 1 species